rnacentral:rRNA from 1 species
UACGAAGGGGGCUAGCGUUGCUCGGAAUCACUGGGCGUAAAGCGCACGUAGGCGGAUCUUUAAGUCAGGGGUGAAAUCCCGAGGCUCAACCUCGGAACUGCCUUUGAUACUGGGGAUCUCGAGUCCGGAAGAGGUUGGUGGAACUCCGAGUGUAGAGGUGAAAUUCGUAGAUAUUGGGAAGAACACCAGUGGCGAAGGCGGCUCACUGGACCGGUAUUGACGCUGAGGUGCGAAAGCGUGGGGAGCAAACAGG